rnacentral:rRNA from 1 species
UACGAAGGGGGCUAGCGUUGUUCGGAAUUACUGGGCGUAAAGCGCGCGCGGGCGGCCAUUCAAGUCAGGGGUGAAAGCCCAGAGCUCAACUCUGGAACAGCCCUUGAAACUGUAUGGCUUGAGUAUGAGAGAGGUGAGUGGAAUUCCCAGUGUAGAGGUGAAAUUCGUAGAUAUUCGGAAGAACACCAGUGGCGAAGGCGACUAACUGGACAUGUAUUGACGCUGAGGUGCGAAAGCGUGGGGAGCAAACAGG